rnacentral:lncRNA from 1 species
CAUUCUACACCCUUGAAUAUCCCAGUGAGUUGAGUGACACAUAGCAGGCAUUCAAAUUAGUGCUAAGCCAAUAAAGUAAACUGUACCCUACCCCUUGAAAUCCUCCUGUUUCCAACACUUUACUCAUCUACUUAACUUAGAUCUUGAAGCCACGAAUGAAGAGAUACAGCGUUAACAGUAAGCUUUCAUUUUAAAAAGUGAAAACAAUGUAACCACCUUGAUAUGCCCUCGAGCUCUUUAAGCUGUAAUUCUACUUUAUGAAAUAUACACAAAAUAAGAAUUGACACAGACAGACUAAGGAAUGGGGGCUGAAAAGCCACAGCCAAAUUCGCUAUGAAUCUCCUACUUUGGGGAUUAGGCUCACUCAGCUACUUCAUAGCCCACUUGGAAAUUCGGUCAUUUUUCCAGUUGCUCUUUGUUGGAGGGAAACUUUCUUAACAAGAUUCUGAGGACUCCAUAAAAACCGUAAGGUGGGAGGAAUUGGGAUCUGAAGGUCCUUGGCAAACAUGUCCACUGCGGCUGCUGGAGGCAAAGCAACGGAAGUUGAAGAGACUUUGCAACAGCUGCAAGAGUUUCACUCCCGGUGCGGAGAAGGGUAGCGGAGCUAGGCUACCCCACCCGGGCGGCGUCCAGCAGCCAGGUCCCUGCUGAACCCCGAGGCCCACCUCGCUGGACCCCGGACGGGCCCCAUCUGUUUCCCCUCCUUCCCCACGCUACGGCCCGCUGGGGAACGGGGCAGCGCCGGGGAGCACGACGAGGGCACGAGGUACCCUCUCCUAGCCCAGGCUCACCCUUGGUCAGCGUGUCCAGCACCCCCGACUUCUCCAAGUACCUCCGGAACUGCUCACGCUUCGAGUCGGCGGCCUGAAGAGACACCGGGGGUCAGUGGCCAGAGCCCGGGAGCCGAGCAGGAAGAAGGCGCUGGGAGUCCGGCAACCCCGCCUCCGCCUCACUACCUCGGGGCCCUCCCGCCCAAACCUGCGCGCGCGACCCCACUCCCACCCAGAGCCGACCAGCGGCUUGCUACCGCCCGCAUGCCCCCAGCCACGCCGCGCCCCCCUCACUUUGUAAUGGGCCAUAGUGACAGCGGCAGCGGCGUAGCUGGCGCCGGAGACCGCGACUGGCGGGUUGGGAGCAGCACUGCUCAUGCGCGGAAGGGGGCGCGCGCCUGCGCACUUGCAAACCACCGGCCGGGAUCGCCGAGGUGUGGCCUGUUUUCAUGGCGACCAGGACGCUCUGCAUCCCCAGUAGCAGGCUGAGCCGAGGGAGGCUGCGUAUGCCCGCCCCUCUGGCUGUCGGAGCCGCACCUCUUCCUCUUCCGGCCCCCGUAGCAAUUAGGUUUCUUUGCAGGAGAUGAAGCCAGACUGCUCAUCAUUCCAGACAUCUUCAGCUGCUACACCCAGAACAAGCAUUCGAAAUAUGAACAGGAUGGUGAGCCAGAUCUUUCCAAUCAUGGUGGAGUGGAUGUGAACUUCCUCCAGAGUAUCUCCAAGGAGAUUCCAGUCCCCCAUGUUUAUUUAGUCAGCCAUCUUAGCUCUGAUCCACAUCAAAUAAGAGGCAGAUAAAUUCUUCCAUUCUGAAGGGAGCACUAUUUCUUAAAGCAAACCUAUGGUGAAAAUAUAACAAUAUGUCA